GAGGAAUAUUGGUCAAUGGACGUAAGUCUGAACCAGCCAAGUAGCGUGCAGGAUUGACGGCCCUAUGGGUUGUAAACUGCUUUUGUUGGGGAGUAAAGUGGGGCACGCGCGCCUUUUUGCAUUUACCCUUCGAAUAAGGACCGGCUAAUUCCGUGCCAGCAGCCGCGGUAAUACGGAAGGUCCAGGCGUUAUCCGGAUUUAUUGGGUUUAAAGGGAGUGUAGGCGGUCUGUUAAGCGUGUUGUGAAAUUUAGGUGCUCAACAUCUACCUUGCAGCGCGAACUGGCGGACUUGAGUGCACGCAACGUAUGCGGAAUUCAUGGUGUAGCGGUGAAAUGCUUAGAUAUCAUGACGAACUCCGAUUGCGAAGGCAGCGUACGGGAGUGUUACUGACGCUUAAGCUCGAAGGUGCGGGUAUCGAACAGGAUUAGAUACCCUGGUAGUCCGCACGGUAAACGAUGGAUGCCCGCUGUUAGCGCCUGGCGUUAGCGGCUAAGCGAAAGCAUUAAGCAUCCCACCUGGGGAGUACGCCGGCAACGGUG
rnacentral:rRNA from 1 species